AUGGACGCUUUGGUUUGGAAGAAUUGGGAUCCUCCGAAAUACAAACUCUCUGUUUGGCUCAUCAUCCAAAACCGUGUUUGGACAACGGACCGACUUGAACAUAGAGGGUGGCCUAAUGGUCGCCUUUGCCCCCUUUGCCGCUGCGAGGAUGAGACGACGCACCACCUCCUCUUCACUUGCCGCCACUCCAUUCGCAUUUGGGGUAUGAUUAAAGAUUGUCUCAUUAUUGAUGACUUCAACCCUUUAGAGUGGGCAACUUUCAAUGAUGUUCAAUCUUGGUGGGAGCAUCUUUCCCUCGCCCAUGGGAGUAGGAGGAAGGCCAUGCCGUCGCUUAUCAUGCUCGUGUCUAUGGCAAUUUGGAACAAAUGCAACGCGAGGGUUUUCAAGCAAACUAGUGACCUCCCUUUGAUAAUAUUCGCUCGCAUCAAGUUGGAGGCCAAAAUUGGGUCAUCGUGGGGGCAAAGCAAUUGGGUCAUUUAG
rnacentral:rRNA from 1 species